UUCACGUUGCAGAUUCCCCGGUGGGAAGGUAGGAGAUGCAGUGGAAAGAACACUGGCCUGGUGUUGGGGCAUCUAUGUUCCAACCCUGCAUCUGCUCCUAACUAGCCAAGUCUGGAUGGCCAGAUCUGUGCGGCAGGGUUCCUCAGGAUAUUCCUCAUGAUAAGCACUGUGCCUGACCCACAUUAUUGGACUGUUAUGCAGUGUUGAGAUGGAGCAUGGACUGAUUGUCAGAAGAUUGAGGUUCAAGUUCUGCUACCAUUUUUCUGAAGCCAUGAGCCCUUGGUCCCUUCGGGCUGCCUGAGGCUCCCUGAUCUAUAAAAUGGGACCAAUGAUGAGCAUGAAAGCUCUUUGAGAACUCCACAGUGCUGAGCAGGGAAGGAGUUUCUGUGAAGUGCCACACACUACGCCAACAGUGCAAGGUAGAAAGAAAUGAUUAAGCCCGAUUAUCUCCAAGGCACCUGCCAGCGGGGACAUUCUAUGAAACAGUGAAAUCAGGAAAAAUGUGAAGCAUGUUAAGUGAAGGUUUGCAUACAGGAUGGAGCAAAGUUCACAGAACAAUCUGCAGCAGAGGUAAGCUGCAACCGCCAAGCCUCCGGGGAAUGUGUGAAGCCGUAAAUCUCACUGAUCCAGACUGGGAGCAAGAUGUUGUGUCUGAACACCCUCAGAACAGAGAACCAGAAUCUCCGAGUUCCUGUCACCACCCCCCACCCCCGCCCCCUGCUUUUACCUGUGUCACCCAAACUCUCCGGGGAUGGCAACAUCUACCUCACAUAUUACUGUGAUGAUUAAAUGUGAAAACACAUAUGAAAGGUCUUUGUAAACUCUGAACUGCUUUAUACAUGGAAAAUAUAAUUAAUAUUCAUGAAGGAGGAAGAAAUAAAAGGGCACCUUAAAGAAUGAAUAGGCACUACCUAAGUGAAUAGCUGGGUGUCAGACACUAGAGUACGUACUUCAUAAAAAUCAAUCAUUUAACCCUCUUGACAUGAGGUAGGGGCUAUUAUUUUUCCCAUUCUACAGAUAAAAAACCUCGCACCCUGGGAGUUUAAGUAACUAGCUUGGGAUCACCCUGACAGUAAGUGGCAAAGCUAGGGCUCACACCAGAGGAGGCUAGCUGCAGAAUCGGUACGUUUAACCAAUGUGUCCUUCUGCCACCCUGCAUGGAAAAAUGUUUUCUAAUCCAAGUUAAUUCCAGCCAAUAAACUUGGCCUGAGAGACAGACUGGGCACUGGGCACAUGAUGAUGAAGACACAGGAGUGUCAGCAAAUAAGGAAAGACUCUAAGGAAUAAGGAAAUAGAUACCACAAAUAUGACUGGUAUUGGAAUAACGUAAAGAAAAAUGUGGAGAUGGAAAAGAGGAGGAGUGUUCCAGAGGCUCUGCAUUUAACAGACUAAGGAACUAGGUGGUGGAUGAAGAGAAGUUCAAGACCUAGAUCUCCUGGAGGCAGCAGCCCGUCAAGCAUGGUGUGAGUGGAGCAGAAGAGGGGCAGCGCACAGGGGGAAUGGAAGGAGCAUGGAGCCCAAGUCAGGGCUGGGCUCGUGUCCUCUUUCCGUCCUUGACUUGCUGUGUAGCCCUAGACAAGUCACUUCGCUUCUCUGAGCUUCAGUGUCCUCUUCUGAAAAGUGAAGUUAACAAGAACACUGACCUCACCGGGGCAAAUGAAAAACUGGAUGUGAAAGGGCUUUGUAAAUGGCAACGUGAGGCGAUUUCAUUGAUCAUCUGAAGGCGGGGAAUUACCUGAAGGCAGGGAGGGGAGUCCUAGGCUGGGUGAAAAUUUGCUUUGCCAAUCUCAACAUUGUACUAAGUGUUGGCCCUGCGAAAAAAGCCUGAUACAACUGGACAUUCUCUUAUUAUAGAAAAUGACAAACCUGUGUUUGAUCCCAGAGUUGUCACAUUCCUCCAGGAGUGCAGACUUUUAUGGGCCCCUGGAAGCUCUGCCCGGACUAUUUCUGAGGACAGGGACAUUGUGCCUUAUUGGCAAGGCCUAUUAAACCAAGGCCACUUGUGGUCAUUGAAGAAUCUAGGUCUGCCUUUGCAAUGGUGGGAAAGAGUUGUCAGGUCCUGUCCUCUGAUGUUUGUGGAUUUGGUUACACUGUUCUGCUAAGCUUGGUGCCUUCUGCUUCCUUGUUUGCUGAGGGUCUUUUUCUAGUCUAGUUAGGGGGACUGAGAAGUGGGAGAAGAGAAUGGAGCAGGUCUGAAUCAAAGACAAGUAGCAGAGGUAGGAAUGAGUAAGAAUAAUAUGUUCUCUCUGGGAAUUUGUACAAGGGCAAGGCUAAUGAGACUUUGUUUUCAAUUACUUAAAAUGUAGUCUGUCAUUGAAAAGAUGAUGUAAUGGCUUUAAGACAGAAAACAAGCCAGAGUCUAACACCACAUUCAGCUACUUGUAUUUUUGCACAUCCUUGCCUAUUUCUGUUGUCAUCAUCAUGCAUGCAUAAUGCACAUUUCAUUUUAUGGCCUGAUUUUUUUCACUUAACAUUAGAUAAUAAGCAUUUUCCUUUUGAAGUCUGCAUUUUAGUGAAUAGACAAUCUAAUUUUGGAUACUGUAUGAUAAUAAAAUUAUCCU